rnacentral:rRNA from 1 species
UAGUCCACGCCGUAAACGAUGGUUACUAGCUGUUGGGCCGAUUGGGGCUCAGUGGCCAAGCGAAAGUGAUAAGUAACCCACCUGGGGAGUACGUUCGCAAGAAUGAAACUCAAAGGAAUUGACGGGGGCCCGCACAAGCGGUGGAGCAUGUGGUUUAAUUCGAUGAUACGCGAGGAACCUUACCAGGGCUUAAAUGCAGUUGGACAGGGGUGGAAACACCCCCUUCUUCGGACUGAUUGCAAGGUGCUGCAUGGUUGUCGUCAGCUCGUGCCGAGAGGUGUCAGGUUAAGUCCUAUAACGAGCGCAACCCCUGUGGUUAGUUGCCAGCGAGUAAUGUCGGGAACUCUAGCCAGACUGCCGGUGUAAGCCGUGAGGAAGGUGGGGACGACGUCAAAUCAUCAUGGCCUUUACGCCUAGGGCUACACACGUGCUACAAUGGUGCAUACAGCGGGUAGCGAAAUCGCGAGGUGGAGCUAAUCUUGUAAAGUGCAUCCCAGUUCGGAUCGGAGUCUGGAA